rnacentral:lncRNA from 1 species
GCCUUCUAGAAGGCUUUAUUUAGCAUGUGGAAAAUGUUUUCUAACCAAGUAGCAUGUGUUACAUGUGUGACAGCUGGAAAAAGAAAUGUGUCGUGCCAUACAUGUAAGGAAAAUGAAGCGUGUUAACCCUUUCCUUCCUUGGACCAUCUUGGCUCUUGAUCUUUCUCUCUUGGCUUCCAUUCGAAACAUUUAAAGAAUAUCUAACCUUCUGGUGUUGGCUCUUGAAGUUCUUGUUGUAAUUUCCUAGCCAUCUGUCUUGUUAUGAGACCUGGAUACAGGCUGCUAGGACCCCGUGUAUCAUCUCCUUCCCCUUGAGAAGGAUUUGUCCUCAAAUCCAUAGAAAUAUCUUCAUCCUCAGAAUCAUAACCUGCAAAAGGUCUAAGGUCAGAUACAUUAAAGGUUGAAUGGACUCCAUAUGCUGGCGGAAGGUCUAUUUGAUAAGCAUUGUUGUUUAUCCGCUGCACCACUCUAAAAGGUCCAUCUCCUCUAGGAUUGAGUUUAGAUUUUCUUAGUUGUGGAAACCUUUCCUUCCUAAGAUGAAUCCAAACUAAAUCACCUUCAUUGAAGAUCAACUCUUUUUUGCCCCUAUUAUGAACCUUGGCAUAUCUCUCAUUUUGUUGUUGAAUUUGAUUCCUAACCCUUUGAUGUAAUUCUUUAACAAACUUAUAUUUAGAUACCCCUUCUUGAUGAACAAAAUCAAUAGAAUUUGGAAGAGGUAUUAAAUCCAUAGGUGUCAAAGGGUUGAAACCAUAAACAACCUCAAAAAGAGAUAUCUUAGUAGUUCCAUGAACUACUCUAUUGUAGGCAAACUCUAUAUGAGGAAGGUACUCAUCCCAAGAUUUGUGAUUGCCCUUUAAAACUACCCUUAAUAAUGUGGAGAGAGAUCUAUUACCACUUCAGUUUGACCAUCUGUUUGAGGAUGGCAAGUAGUAGAAAACGAUAACUUAGUCCCUAAUCGAGACUAUAAGGUUCUCCAAAAAUGACUAAGAAAUUUAGUAUCUCUAUCCGAAAUGAUUACUUUAGGUAGGCCAUGAAGUUUAACCACAUCUCUAAAGAAUAGUCUUGCAAUGUUGCUUGCAUCAUCUAUUUUGUGGCAAGGUAUAAAAUGAGCCAUUUUGCUAAAUCUAUCCACUACCACAAAUAUAGAAUCAAAACCCCGAGCAGUCUUAGGAAGUCCUAACACAAAAUCCAUGCUAAUUUCUUCCCAACGGGUUGAAGCAACAUGCAAAGGUGCAUAAAGUCCAUAAGGCAUUGAUUUAGACUUUGAUUCCAAACAAGUGAUACACUUAAAACAAUGCCUUUGAACAUCCCUUCUCAUGUGAGGCCAAAAAAAUCUCUCUUUUAACAUGCCAAGGGUUUUUUCUACCCCAAAAUGUCACAUCAAUCCUCCCUCAUGUGUCUCUUUGACAAGGAGCUUUCUAUGUGAUCCUUGAGGAAUACAAAUUUUUCCUUCUUUAAAAAGAUACCCCUCUCUCACAUAAAAACCUCCUUGAGCUUUACUGAGACAGUCUUCAUACAUAUGAGAAAAUUCAGGGUCUUGUGAAUACAACUCAGUUAUGUUAUCAAACCCAAGAACUUGAGCUCCCAAUGUGGCUAAAAAAUUAAUUUUUCUUGAUUGGGCAUCCACCACAACAUUGGAUUUGCCUUUCUUGUACUUGAUAACAUAAGAGAAUUGUUCAAUGAAUUCUAACCACUUAGCAUGCCUUUUUUGCAACUUGUGUUGACUCUUCAAAUAUUUUAGUGAUUCAUGAUCACUAUGGAUGAUAAACUCCUUGGAAACAAGGUAAUGUUCCCAAGUUUGAACAGCCCUCACAAGAGCAUAAAGUUCCUUGUCAUAGGUGGGAUAGUUACAAGAAGCCCCAUGAAGUUUUUCACUAAAGUAGGCAAUGGGAUGUCCUUCUUGUAAUAAUGUCGCACCUAUUCCAUGUCCUGAAGCAUCACAUUCUAGCUCAAAAGUUUUUGAAAAGUUGGGAAGAGCUAGAAUGGGUGCUUGAGUGAGCUUUUCUUUGAGUAUCUCAAAAGCUUUUUGUUGUUUGUCUCCCCAAAUGAAUGUAACAUCCUUUUUCACCAACUCAUUGAGAGGUGAAGCUAGACUAGAGAAGUUAGGUACAAAUCUUCUAUAAAAACUUGUCAAUCCAUGAAAACUCCUAACUUCUCCUACAUUCUUUGGGGGAGGCCAAUCUUGAAUAGCCUUUAUUUUCUCAGGGUCAACAUGAACCCCAUUUUUAUUGACUACAAAACCUAGAAAAAUGACACUAUCAACACAAAAAGUGUUGGUUCUAAGAAUUGUUAAAACAAUUAUCAACUGUUUUUCAUGGUUGUGAAAGUCUUGACUAUAGAUCAAAAUGUCAUCAAAAUAAACAACUACAAACUUCCUAAUGCAAUCCCUUAGAAUAUGAUUCAUAAGUCUCAUGAAUGUGCUUGGGGCAUUUGUAAGACCAAAAGGCAUUACUAGCCACUCAUAUAAACCAAACUUAGUCUUAAAAGCAGUUUUCCACUCAUCUCCUUCUUUAAUUCGAAUUUGAUGAUAUCCACUCUUAAGAUCUAUUUUUGAGAAAAUUUGAGCCCCAUGUAAUUCAUCCAACAUAUCAUCAAGUCUAGGAAUGGGAUGUCUGUAUUUUAUUGUGAUGUUGUUGAUAGCCCUACAAUCACAACACAUGCGCCACUUUCCAUCUUUUUUUGGCACCAACAACACAGGUACAGCACAGGGGCUUAGGCUCUUUUGAACCAAGCCCUUAUCUAGUAAUUCUUGAACUUGUGACUCAAUCUCUUUUAUUUCUUGGGGAUUGGUCCUAUAGGUAGGCCUAUUAGGAAGAGUUGCCCUUGGAAUGAAGUCAAUUUGAUGUUCUAUCCCUCUUAAAGGUGGAAGCCCAAUUGGAAUUUCUUUGGAAAAUAGAUCAUCAAAUUCCUUCAAAAGUUUUUGUAUUGAAAGAGAUAGAGUAGAAGUCUUAGAAUCACUAGAUGUGCAUGUGAGUGUUCCUUGACAAAGAAGGAGGUAUGAAGGUUGCUCAACUUGAAGUGUAUUGAUUAAAGUCUUUUUAGGACUUCAUGUUGAGUAACCUUGUGGGAGGGAACACUAGACUCCCACACCCCUUUUUCAUCUCUAAGGGCUGCUCCUUUCUUUUGUUUUGAACUUUUUUUUCUCUUUUGUUCUUUUUCUUGGUCCCUUGUGGACUUCAUUUGUGCUUGAUCCUGAGCCACCUGGGCAGGAGUCAAAGGGUGAAGCACAAAUUUCUUAUCCUUUUUGUGCACUGUGAUUGUAUUGGUUAGACCAUGGUGUAUAGUAUUAUGAUCAAAUUGCCAUGGUCUCCCCAAUAUAUAUGGCAAGCUUCCAUAGGAACUACAUCACAAAUAACUUCAUCUUUGAAGUUCCCUAUGGAAAAUGCCAGCUUAACUUGAGUCUUGACUGUGAUAUCCCCAUCUUCAUUUAGCCAAUGAAGUUUGUACGGUUUAGGAUGGGGUAUUACAGCAAGAUUCAACUUCUUAACCAAUCUUGUGCUACAGCAAUUGCAGCAAGAACCGCUAUCAAUAAUGAGAGAACAAUGAUUUUCUUGAAUUUUACAUCUUGUAUGAAAGAUGUUCUCUCUUUGUGAUAGAUGUUCUAGACUUGGUUGAUUAUUAAGCACCCUUCUCACCAUGAGAAGUUGACCAUCAUCAGCAAAUACUUCCUCUUCUUUUUUUGUCUCUUCCUCACUUUCACUGGUAAGGGAUUCACUUUCACUGCUAUAAAUGUCCUUUCCUCUUAGAAUGAUGGUUCUCUUAGUAGGACAUUGAGCAGCUACAUGACCCCUUCCUAGACACUUGAAACAUUUGAGUUCGCUAGUCCUAGGGUGGGACGAGGACUCUUGUUUGGGUUUCUCAACAAUUUUGGCUAGAGGUUUAAAUGACUCUUUUUCUUUAAAACUUCUAUUUUCAAAAGGUUGAACUUGAGCUCUCUUGUAAGAGGAUUUUCUCAAAUUUUGUUGUUCUACCUUGAUACACAUUUGGACAAGACUAUCCAAAUCUAUAUAAGGUAAGAGUUCAACCAUGUCUCGAAUUUCAUAAUUGAGCCCACUCAAAAAUCUAGCCAUUGUGAGUUCAUUUGUCUCUUCAAUCCUUGCCCUUAUCAUAUACAACUCCAUCUUUUGUCUAUAUUGUUCUACAGACAUAGAAUUUUGUUGUAGCCUUUAGAGUUUAUCCAUAAGCUCUCUAUGAUAGUAGGAGGGAAUAUGUCUUUUCCUAAGGGCAGUGAUCAAGUCAUUCCAAUAUCUUAUUGGAGGAUUUUGGUGGCGCCUUCUUUCUUCCACUAUGGCAAUCCACCAAUACAUGGCAUACCCUUGAAAGCUAAGGGUAGCUAAAGGAACCUUUCUCUCUUCACUCACUUGGUGGCAAGCAAAAAGUUGCUCCACCUUCAUUUCCCAAUCUAGAAAGGCCUCCACAUCAUCUUUUCCAUGAAAGUGGGGCAAGUUGAUGUUGACUUCUUUAGGGGGAGGUGGUUCUUGAAUUUCCCGCCUAUGUCUUCUAGAAGAAGAAUAAUCCCCAUAAUAAUCUCCCAUUCUAAAGUUCUCUACCUCAUGGUGGGAAUCUCCACUCCUACUUUCUCGCACUCUUCCUUGCUCAUCUCUCAUGACUCUCAACUCAUCUUGAAUUAUGGUGAUUUGUCUUCCCCUAUCUUGUUGAGCAUAUUCCAUUUUUCUCUCAAUGUCAAGUCUCCAUUGAGUUAGUUCUCUGAGUUGCUUUGAAAUAUCUUUGAGAGUAAUUUGAUCCUCAGAAUCACUAACUCUUGGAGAUUGCCGCUUUGACAUUUUGUGAUUGUAAAAGUUUUCUUGUGUUACAACUUCCUUAGAUUUCACCCAAGAACAAAUUCUAGGUAAGGGAGGUGAACCACUAGGGUUGCUUAAGUACCAAGCCUUUUCCUUGCCAAAAAUGUUCUAGGCUACUUACUUAGUUAUUGUUACUCCAAGAUCACUUCUAAGAUCACAAAAGAAAACUCAAAAGUCAAGAAAACAACUAAGACUCUAAGGUCGGACUCUAAGUUUCCUAAACGAAAAUUUACAAGCUUAAAAGGAAUGAAGAAAUGAAAUGUAAAGGUGAGGUCUCCUAGGUGAGGCUUAGACUUUGGAUCUAAGACACACUCACCGUCUACCAAUUUUAGGUGAAGAGACUUUAAGUCAAGUUAGCAAAUGAGGGAAGAACACUUAGGAGCUCUUCCACUUCACUUGCUUGAAAUGGCCCUUUUUACAAAUCAAAGAAAAACAAAUGAACUAUUACAACUUGUGAUUCAAUCAAAAAGGAAAGGAUAAGGAAAGUGCAACUUUGGCCUCUCUCAAUGGAAGCUGCGUGAAAAUUGAUGCAGCACAAGUCUCACAGUUGCUAUCAAUUGAAAUUGUGAAUUCUGGAUGCAGAAUCGGUUCUGUCUUACACAUAUACAGCAACUGUUGCAGCAAUUAUGCAGUCACGGGAUGGACUUUUGCAGCACCAAGAGCCCAACUUCUUUGUGAUUUCCGCCACUUAUCCACUCCCUAAUAUGCUACCAAUGGUUUAGGAGCUCAGCUAGAUCAAUGCUCCUAUGAUAGCACUUCAACCAAAUCACAAAUCAUUCUAGAGAUUAGUGCACAAAAUGUUGUUGCUGCCAGAAAAAUGUGCACAACCAAAAUGGUUUAGGAGCUCAGCUAGAUCAAUGCUCCUAUGAUAACACCUUUUAUCAAACAGGUGGUAGACAAGAAUUCCAACAAUCAAAUUAAAGCAAUAAAAAGGGACAGAAACACGGGUACACAACCAAAAUGGAACCUAGGAAUGGUGCUAGAGCAGAUUUAAAAGCAAUAAAACAGACUCAAGUAAUAAGUGAAGUGUAGUCAAUGAUAAUAUGCCAUCAGCACCAUCUGUUUGUGAAAAGGUCUCAAUGAUAGUCCAACUAAUGCUAAUUUUUUUUUUAUUUCACGGGAUGCAGAUUUCAACUAAUAUGUUGCACGGAUUCAAUGAGCUUUUUCACUGUCAAUUCAAUUCUUUUGAAUGUUAUGUUUCUUUUAUAUUGAAUCCAGCUUUUGCUACAACAUUUACAUAAAAUUCAAUGCAACAAUUCAAGCUUCAAUUAUCAUAAUUCUGCAGCACUUAAUUGGACUGAAACAGAGGUUCAAAAGUGGCUGGAUUGACUAGCGAAAAUGCACAAUUCCAAUUACAAUCAUUUUAACUUUGCACCAACAAGUUUAAUUGAUGAUUUUAAACUUGUUUGACAGAGAAUUUUGAACAGAUUCAAUGUCUAUCAGAUUAUGACAUGUUCAGUUCCUUUGUGCACUUUCAACCAUUCAACUCUAAUAGCCAACUUUUGAAACAACAAACUAAAUUGACUUCUUGCAUCAGAAUAUGUCUUAACACAAUAUUGGAAAGUUGCUCAAAUAGCAGAAUAACAAUUUUAUAUGGUUGGCAAUGAACUAGAUACUCAACCAGAUUUAACACACAAACACGGCUUUAGCAAAGAAAAUUGUGCAGUUCGGCCUACUGCCAAAUGAAAUGCCAUUUGAACUUUCCAGUUAUACUACCAAUAGCAAAAGCAAUUUCAGGUUUUAUAGUAUUCACUCUGGACUUCGUUCAACAGAGGCUUAUACACAAUCAUCAAUAGUGUUUUUAACCAAAAACAGCCAAUAAACAAUGAAAUUCAGAAAAAUAUGCAGUAUCAAACCAUUGCAGUUUACGUUUUCUUUUCUGUUCAGAUCUGAUUGCCACAUUGCCACCAAGCUCAUUCACUUGAACUUCAUUGCUCUUUAAUGAUUAACAACAUGUAUUUGCAAUUCAGAAUCAAUUGAUGCAGACACAACUCACAGUUGACACAGAAUUGAAGACAAACAAAAAAUCAAUGCAUACAAUGCACAAGACUUGACAGAUCUGGAUGGAUUACAAAAUAAAAGACUCAAAACAGAAUUGACCGAAUAAAAUGAUGAGAAGAAAAGCAAAUAAGCUAGUAUGAAAGAAAUGACACACACAAAACCUAAGAAUGAACAGCAAAUGAAUGGAACAGUACCACACAAUGAAGCAGAGAAAAGAAAACUGUGACAGUGUAAAAUGGAGGAAAAAUUGACUUAUCUCAUGGUAGCAGUAGCUGGAACUCAAUGUGGCUCUGAAUACCACUUGAUAGCUCCUUCCUUGAGCUAUGGUUCAGAUCCGUGAGAUGCAGCAAGCAAAGAAGGCAGCAUCAGCGGUAAUGGAAUGCUUGGAUAAUGAAUANUGAUAGCUCCUUCCUUGAGCUAUGGUUCAGAUCCGUGAGAUGCAGCAAGCAAAGAAGGCAGCAUCAGCGGUAAUGGAAUGCUUGGAUAAUGAAUAGGCAGCAGAAGACAUUAUGAUGGAUUCUAUGAAGUGGAGGAAGUGCUUUAGUGUAAUGAAUCUAGCUCAGACAACUCUCACCUCUGGAAGGAAGCUUGAGGAUUGAAUGGAGGAAGCACAAGAAGAAGUGACUCUCGGUGAUGAAAGGGCUGGAAGCAAUGUGCUUAGCAUUUCAAUUCUGUCAAUAUUCCCAAAAGUAUCAUACAGAAGUUGCCUUGGGGUUUUUAUAAGAAUUCCCUUCGGCCUUGGCAAGGAAAAUACUAGUACUAGAUCCGUGAAAUGUGGAUCUGCUGCCACGUAGGCAGCCAUGUGCAACAUGUGCUAGCCUUCUAGAAGGCUUUAUUUAGCAUGUGGAAAAUGUUUUCUAACCAAGUAGCAUGUGUUACAUGUGUGACAGCUGGAAAAAGAAAUGUGUCGUACCAUACAUGUAAGGAAAAUGAAGUGUGUUAACCCUUUCCUUCCUUGGACCAUCUUGGCUCUUGAUCUUGCUCUCUUGGCUUCCAUUCAAAACAUCCAUUCAAAACAUGUAAAGAAUAUCUGACCUUCUGGUGUUGGCUCUUGAAGUUCUUGUUGUAAUUUCCGGGCCAUCUAUCUUUAUAGGACCUGGAUGCAGGCUGCUAGGACCCCGUGUAUCACGAAGAGAUGCUGGAAACGAAACCCUCACGUCAUGGGAACACCUAACUUGAAACUCACCCCUUCUUUCCUGCAAACCAAGCCAGACCAAAGAAAGGGAAGAAGGAAACAACACUCCCCUACUACGAAAACAACAAGAACCAGAAAGAGAAGAAAGGUUCCUUGCAGGUUGAAUCAACAUACAAAAUAAGGAAAAGGAACACAUCCCCUCUCUUCUAAAACGAACUCAAACCAGCACAAAGGUUUAUCUGCAAGAAAACCCAAAAGUGGGGAAGACGAAAAUGAUUAGAUUCUU